AGAAUCAACGCUGGCGGCGUGCCUAACACAUGCAAGUCGAACGAGAAAGUGGAGCAAUCCAUGAGUAAAGUGGCGCACGGGUGAGUAACACGUGACUAACCUACCCUUGAGUGGGGGAUAACCUAGAGAAAUCUGGGCUAAUACCGCAUAAUACCUUCGGGUCAAAGGAGCAAUUCGCUUAAGGAGGGGGUCGCGGCCAAUUAGUUAGUUGGCGGGGUAAUGGCCCACCAAGACUAUGAUCGGUA
rnacentral:rRNA from 1 species